rnacentral:rRNA from 1 species
AGAGUUUGAUCCUGGCUCAGGACGAACGCUGGCGGCGCGCCUAACACAUGCAAGUCGAACGAGCGAGAGAGAGUUUACUUUUUCGAGCGAGUGGCGAACGGGUGAGUAACGCGUGAGGAACCUGCCUCAAAGAGGGGGACAACAGUUGGAAACGACUGCUAAUACCGCAUAAGCCCACGACCCGGCAUCGGGUAGAGGGAAAAGGAGCAAUCCGCUUUGAGAUGGCCUCGCGUCCGAUUAGCUAGUUGGUGAGGUAACGGCCCACCAAGGCGACGAUCGGUAGCCGGACUGAGAGGUUGAACGGCCACAUUGGGACUGAGACACGGCCCAGACUCCUACGGGAGGCAGCAGUGGGGAAUAUUGCACAAUGGGGGAAACCCUGAUGCAGCGACGCCGCGUGGAGGAAGAAGGUCUUCGGAUUGUAAACUCCUGUUGUUGAGGAAGAUAAUGACGGUACUCAACAAGGAAGUGACGGCUAACUACGUGCCAGCAGCCGCGGU